rnacentral:ncRNA from 1 species
UAUACAGUUAUGAUAAAAGCUACGAUUUGUGAAUUUCUUCAGAGAGCCGAUGGUUGGUGAGAAUCGGUGAAAGGAUAAAUCUUUCCACUUUUGGAGCUGUCGGUGAUGAAUCGAAAGGGUAGUAACCUUUAUAUUACUAUUGUCGAGUGGUUGGUCUUAUUAUACCAGCAAUUUGGGUGGCAACGCGGAUUAUUCCGUCCCAUUU